ACAAGAUGUCUACCUUAAAUGUCUUUUGCCUGAGAAAUGAUUAGCAGCUUAUUAAACAAAAGAAGAAAGAGAUUUUUAAUAUGUUGACUUCAUUGGUACACUCCCAAACUGUAUGCAUCUCUUUAAUAGUGCAAACAGCUGUUGCACAUGUACACUACAGUAGGUAAAUACCAGCACGGUCAUGAUUUAUUUGAUGUCUAAAAUAGUAAUAAGUGAUUAAUUUGUCGCAUCACCUUGGAAACUACACUAUGCGAGUGUCAAGACUUGACUUAGUAUAGAGACCUUCAGAUUUUGUUGAAACGAACAGUCUGUAGUGAGUAAUUUCUUUGUUUUUCCUCUGGUCAGCUCCCAGGCUUGCCUUCCAUAUUUGAAGAAGGCCAAAAAUCCACACAUCUUAAACAUAGCACCACCUUUAAACAUAAGGCAUGCAUGGUUUAAGGACCAUAUUGCCUAUUCGUUGUCUAAGUAUGGAAUGACCCUGUGUGUCCUUGGUAUGUCUCAGGAAUUCAAGGAUGAUGGAAUUGCAGUUAAUGCCUUGUGGCCCAAAACAGGUAUUGCUACAGUUGCUGUGAUGGUGACAGCUGGUAAAGAAGGCCUGGCAUAUUGUCGAACUGAUCGUGUUUUUGCUGAUGCUGCGUAUGUUGUACUAACACGGGACAGUCGAGCCAGGACAGGAGAGUUUCUUUAUGACGAGGAUGUACUCAGGGAAGCAGGAGUGACAGAUUUUGAGCAAUAUUCAUAUAUCCCAGGUAUUGUGUUCUGGUAUAAUGUCUUAACUACAUGUACAUAUAUUGGUAGUGAAUUGGCUUAAUUAACUGCUGCCCAGUUUUAGCUGGAUUAUAUUCAGUCACGUGACACGUUAAGACAAAUCGAGUGCUUGCGAAAACAUUUGAUG